AGAGGCGGGGACAACAGCUAUCUACACCAAUCACAGCCUCAGGGCGACUGCCAUACAGAAGCUGUCAGAUGCGGGUCUUGAAGCUAGGGAGAUCAUGACAGUGAGUGGGCACAGGUCUGAGAGCUUGUUAAAAAGCUACUGGAAGCCAUCCAUGGAGAGCAGAAAACGAUGGAGCAACAUACUGUCAGAUCAGAAGGCAGAGUCGGCUGUGCCUGUGAAGCGACAGUCCACCAUGCAGUCACCAGAGACUUAUUUCACCGGCUGCACAAUUAAUGGAAAUGUGCAGAUAAAUGUGUAUAAAGAGUAAGUGCCUGGCGCACCAUGUCUGCGUUACAUAGCAACGGUGACAGCGGAGUCCUGAGGGAACUAUUUUUGUUGGCGGAAGACAAAUAAAAUGCUUAAAUUA